CUGCUUCGUAGAUCCGCUGUGUUCGAGCUCCGUCGCCGCUUGUACCGGGGUUUCAUUCGAGCGAGAAGAAAAGGAAGAAGAUGGAUUUGGUCCACAGACACGGGAAGAGACAACCUGCCUCUUGAGCUUCCAAUCUAAGGAGACAUAGGAGAUGGAGACAGAGAGAAGCAGAAGUAGAGCUGGAGAAAACAUAGUUGGAGUUUCAGACUCAAAACGAGAGAAGCCAGAAGAGCAAGGUAUUUGGAUGGACAAGAGGAACUCAGGUACUCCGAGAGUCUGUCUUGAACAAAACUCUUUACUUUUCUUUAAAGCUUAACAAGUUCUUCUUACCUUCUUGUUUGCGGUAUAAGAGUUUUUGAUGUUUCUGAAGUUAAAGAAGUGAAACAUAAAGUAGAAGAAGAAGACAAACAUGGAGAUGAUUAUGAACUGGAUCUACUCUACCUUGUACAUUCUUGCUUACUUCUUCACCAGGUCCUUGCUUACUUCCUGCUCUUGUCUUGAGAAUUCUUAUCUCUUUUCUAUUAGUUAAAGAACCAUGUCUGAAUAAUGAGUUUCAUAGAAUAGUGAUUUUCUUUUUUUUUUGAAUCUCAGGAAGAAAAAUCUCAAGAAAAGUCUUUGUAUUAUAUUCUUUUGUAAAACAUAGAUGUUAAUGAUACUCCUUUAUCCUGUUUUUUUUUUGUUCAUCUUUUAGUAAUCAUGUUGUUCCGUUACGUUGUCAUAUAUGUUUUCCAAAUUUUUUAUUAUUUAUAUUAUAGUGCUUUGAGCUUUGAAACCUUAUCACCAUUAUGGUGAACAAAGAGGUUUGACAGGCAGAUUAGUUAACUUACUAUGCGUGCCAGUGGAUGCUACUUUAGUUGUUGAUAUCAACAUAUUCUAAGCACUCUGUUGUUUGAAACUAAUCAGAUAUUUUCAGCAUUCUUUCUUUGUAUACUUAGUAGCUGCUUGUAUUUAUUUACUUUUUUCAUCUUAUUGUUUUAUGGCAUACAGUAAGCUUGACGGUGGAUUUGUGCUAUGUGCUGAUUGCAGGAGACAGGGGUGAUGGAGAUGGAGAGAAAAGAAGGGUGUCUCUAUAUUUUCAGGAAGAGGAAGAUGAGAAUGACAAAGUGACUGUAGGCAAAUAACUCAGAGCCGUGUAUCAGAGAGAAAUUAUGAAUAUACACAGAUCUUGACAUUGUUAUGAAGAAGCUUUGUUGAUUUCUCAAGACCUGUUCGUUCAAUUGCCUUAAAGAAUCAGGUCAGCUUUGUGUUGCUGUUGGUGCUCUGUUAGUAACUACCAUCUUCUUCUUCUCUAGCAAGUUUCUAACUUGCUGCAAAUUUACUAAGUCCUCGUGUUCAAGGGCUAGAUUCUGAGCUUGGUGUUGACGGUUUUCUCUCAUAUGUUAUGAAGUAAGAAUGACUGCUGCUACGGGUGGAGUACUGUCAAUGUCUACAGAAACCUUGCUGCAACGUAAGAAAGGGUGCUAAGAACGGAUCAUUUGAUGUGGAGUAAGAACUGCAUCAUCUUCUCUUUUUUUUUCUUUGCAAAUGAGACUUGUGUUCUUCGUUUGAGAUUUGUAACUUCGAAUUGUAUCUCCCUUGGAAUUAUGACAAGAAUGUUGUGUGGGAUAAUAUAUUUUCUAUUAUGGAAUACAAUUUCAGCUUCAUUAC